GAGUGGCAGCGCCUGGACUCUGAGCAGAAGACUCUGUAUACAGAUGUGAUGUUGGAAAACUAUGGCCACCUCCUCUCCGUGGGCUGUGACGUGUCUAAACCUGACAUCAUCCUCAGACUGGAGAGAGGGGAAGAGCCAUGGACAUCGUUUGCAAGUCAUGUCUCCUUAGCAAGUUUCUGACUUUAGACAUAAGCCUGAAAGAGUCAGGCAACAUCACAUAUCACUGACACGUUUUAAAGGUUCCUGCUUUUGAAAUGACAAUCUCACCCACAACACUGAAAACACAAUUCUGAGCUGGACAUGUUGAAUGCAACUGGAGUGCUAGAAUUUCAGGGUGAAACCACCCUACUCAACCAAGACGUAUGAAAAACAAUUUUUAGGUUUUUGUGUAUUUAUGUGUAUGUAUAUUUUGCCUGCAUGUAUCUAUGUGCACUACUGGUGUCUGGGGCCAGAAGAGGGUGUCAGAUUCUUAGGAACUAGAGUAUUGAACAGUUAUGAGCCACCCUAUGGAUGCUGGGAACUUAACCUGGGUCCUCUGCAAGAACCCUGUCCAGUCCCCUGCACAUUCCUUUCAGUAAGGAAGGAUUGCUCUCCAGUCUAUAUUUUAUGAAAUAAAGAUUUGCUGCUAAGCUUGGUGGCGUAUGCCUAUAAUUCUAGUACUUGAGGAGCUGAACUGCAGGACUGCCAUGCGUUUGAGGCCAGCCUGAUCUACCUAGUGAGUACCAGAGUCAGAGCUACAUAGUAAUACU
rnacentral:lncRNA from 1 species